GUCCCCGUAGUAUAACAUAUUACAACGGUCUUGUAAACCGUAAAUGAAAAAAUUCACUUUCCGAGGAUA
rnacentral:tRNA from 1 species